GCCUCGGAGGACUGGUGGGAGGGCCGGCACAAUGGCGUAGAUGGACUCAUCCCACACCAGUACAUAGUGGUACAGGACAUGGACGAUGCCUUCUCUGACAGUCUGAGCCAGAAGGCUGACAGCGAGGCCAGCAGUGGGCCGCUGCUGGAUGACAAGGCCUCCUCCAAAAAUGACCUCCAGUCCCCCACAGAGCACAUCUCGGAUUACGGCUUUGGUGGGGUGAUGGGCCGAGUGCGGUUACGAUCCGACGGAGCGGCCAUCCCCAGGCGCCGAAGUGGGGGCGACACGCACAGCCCGCCCCG